rnacentral:rRNA from 1 species
UACGGAGGGGGCUAGCGUUGUUCGGAAUUACUGGGCGUAAAGCGCACGUAGGCGGACCGGCAAGUCGGGGGUGAAAGCCCGAGGCUCAACCUCAGAACUGCCUUCGAUACUGGGGAUCUUGAGUCCGGGAGAGGUGAGUGGAAUUCCUAGUGUAGAGGUGAAAUUCGUAGAUAUUAGGAAGAACACCAGUGGCGAAGGCGGCUCACUGGCCCGGUACUGACGCUGAGGCGCGAAAGCGUGGGGAGCAAACAGG